UUCGAGUCGUUGAUUUCACACUGCCGAGAAAAGCCUCUAGAUAGAAAAUAGGUGCCCGUACCGCAAACCGACACAGGUAGUCAAGAUGAGAAUUCUAAGGUGAGCGAGCGAACUCUCGUUAAGGAACUCGGCAAAAUGACCCCGUAACUUCGGGAGAAGGGGUGCUCUUUAGGGUUAACGCCCAGAAGAGCCGCAGUGAAUAGGCCCAAGCGACUGUUUAUCAAAAACACAGGUCUCUGCUAAACCGUAAGGUGAUGUAUAGGGGCUGACGCCUGCCCGGUGCUGGAAGGUUAAGAGGAGUGGUUAGCUUCUGCGAAGCUACGAAUCGAAGCCCCAGUAAACGGCGGCCGUAACUAUAACGGUCCUAAGGUAGCGAAAUUCCUUGUCGGGUAAGUUCCGACCCGCACGAAAGGCGUAACGAUUUGGGCACUGUCUCAACGAGAGACUCGGUGAAAUCAUAGUACCUGUGAAGAUGCAGGUUACCCGCGACAGGACGGAAAGACCCCGUGGAGCUUUACUGUAGCCUGAUAUUGAAAUUCGGCACAGCUUGUACAGGAUAGGUAGGAGCCUUUGAAACGUGAGCGCUAGCUUACGUGGAGGCGCUGGUGGGAUACUACCCUAGCUGUGUUGGCUUUCUAACCCGCACCACUUAUCGUGGUGGGAGACAGUGUCAGGCGGGCAGUUUGACUGGGGCGGUCGCCUCCUAAAAGGUAACGGAGGCGCUCAAAGGUUCCCUCAGAAUGGUUGGAAAUCAUUCAUAGAGUGUAAAGGCAUAAGGGAGCUUGACUGCGAGACCUACAAGUCGAGCAGGGUCGAAAGACGGACUUAGUGAUCCGGUGGUUCCGCAUGGAAGGGCCAUCGCUCAACGGAUAAAAGCUACCCCGGGGAUAACAGGCUUAUCUCCCCCAAGAGUUCACAUCGACGGGGAGGUUUGGCACCUCGAUGUCGGCUCAUCGCAUCCUGGGGCUGUAGUCGGUCCCAAGGGUUGGGCUGUUCGCCCAUUAAAGCGGUACGCGAGCUGGGUUCAGAA
rnacentral:rRNA from 1 species